rnacentral:rRNA from 1 species
GACGAACGCUGGCGGCGUGCCUAAUACAUGCAAGUCGAGCGAAGUUUUUCUGGUGCUUGCACCGGAAAAACUUAGCGGCGAACGGGUGAGUAACACGUAAAGAACCUGCCUCAUAGACUGGGACAACUAUUGGAAACGAUAGCUAAUACCGGAUAAUAGCAUUAACUGCAUGGUUGAUGUUUAAAAGUUGGUUUUGCUAACACUAUGAGAUGGCUUUGCGGUGCAUUAGCUAGUUGGUGGGGUAAAGGCCUACCAAGGCGACGAUGCAUAGCCGACCUGAGAGGAGGAGCGGCAACACGGGAACUGAGACACGGUGCAGACUCCUACGGGAGGCAGCAGGAGGGAAGAGUGCGGAAGGGGAGAAAGCCUGACGGAGAAAUGCAGAGGGAGGGAAGAAGGUCUUAGGAGCGUAAAGAUCUGUAAUUAGGGAAGAACAGAAGUGUAAGGAAAAGUGCAGGUCGGGACGGUACCUAAUCAGAAAGCGACGGCUAACUACGUG